rnacentral:rRNA from 1 species
AGUAACGCGUAAGAACUUGCCCUUUAGACUGGGAUAACAGAGGGAAACUUCUGAUAAUACUGGAUAAGUUAGUAUAUCGCAUGAUAUGCAAAUGAAAGCUACGGCACUAAAGGAGAGCUUUGCGUCCUAUUAGCUAGUUGGUAAGGUAAGAGCUUACCAAGGCGAUGAUAGGUAGCCGGCCUGAGAGGGUGGACGGCCACAAGGGGACUGAGAUACGGCCCUUACUCCUACGGGAGGCAGCAGGC